CAGUAGCCACGGUAAUACAGAGGGUGCAAGCGUUAAUCGGAAUUACUGGGCGUAAAGCGCGCGUAGGUGGUUCGCCAAGUUGGAUGUGAAAUCCCCGGGCUCAACCUGGGAACUGCAUCCAAAACUGGCGAGCUAGAGUAUGGUAGAGGGUGGUGGAAUUUCCUGUGUAGCGGUGAAAUGCGUAGAUAUAGGAAGGAACAUCAGUGGCGAAGGCGACCACCUGGACUGAUACUGACACUGAGGUGCGAGAGCGUGGGGAGCAAACAGGAUUAGAUACCCCAGUAGUCCCUGUCUCUUAUAC
rnacentral:rRNA from 1 species